CAGAAGCACAGCGCGCAAUUACCCAAUCUAGACAGUAGGAGGUGGUGAAGAGAAUUACUAAAUGGUGGUCUAACAGAUCACUCGCUUGGAAUGAACGUAACUUAAGAAAUUCGAUGAGAAACAACUGGAGGGCAAGUCCUGGUGCCAGCAGCCGCGGUAAUUCCAGCUCCAGUAGUUUGCUUUAAAGUUGUUGCGUUUAAAACGCUCGUAGUUGGAUCACGCAGCGGUGGUGAGUAAUCUUUUGCGACGGGAUGGUGAAUGAGCCCGUUUUGCGACGGCCAUGAAUCAAACUAAGCAAAAGGUAAAAAUGCUGAUCAUCGCUAGUUGCACGUGAGAUAGAUUGUUGGCCUUUGAUGUGCCGAUAUUCUGGUCUUGCGGAGUGUGCCUUGAAUAAAACAGAGUGCUUAAAGCAGGUCGUUGCCUGAAUGUUAUAGCAUGGAACGAACAAUCGUGUUUAUGUGUACGCCUACUGAUGGUAGCGAGCCUUUGGUUUGUUGUUAUUGGAGACGUGCACGGCACCCACCAAAAUAUGGCUGUUGGUUCCAUAUACGGUGAUGAUUAACAGGAGCGGUUGGGGGCAUCGGUAUUUGGCCGCGAGAGGUGAAAUUCUUAGACCGGCCAAGGACUAACAAAUGCAAAGGCACUUGUCUAGACCGUUUCCAUUAAUCAAGAACGAAAGUGGGAGGUUCGAAGACGAUCAGAUACCGUCCUAGUUCCCACCGUAAACUAUGCCGACCUGGGAUCAGUUUAGAGAUGUUACAAGCUUUGGAUUGGUCCCCCUGGGAAACCUGAAGUUUUUCGGUUACGGGGAAAGUAUGGUCGCAAGGCUGAAACUUAAAGGAAUUGACGGAAGGGCACCACCAGGGGUGGAGCCUGCGGCUUAAUUUGACUCAACACGGGGAAACUUACCUGGUCCGGACAUCGAUAGGAUUAACAGAUCAAUAGCUCUUUU
rnacentral:rRNA from 1 species